CCUACGGGGGGCAGCAGUCGGGAAUAUUGCGCAAUGGAGGAAACUCUGACGCAGUGACGCCGCGUAUAGGAAGAAGGUUUUCGGAUUGUAAACUAUUGUCGUUAGGGAAGAUAAAAGACUGUACCUAAGGAGGAAGCCCCGGCUAACUAUGUGCCAGCAGCCGCGGUAAUACAUAGGGGGCAAGCGUUAUCCGGAUUUACUGGGUGUAAAGGGAGCGUAGACGGCAGCGCAAGUCUGGAGUGAAAUGCCGGGGCCCAACCCCGGAACUGCUUUGGAAACUGUGCAGCUCGAGUGCAGGAGAGGUA
rnacentral:rRNA from 1 species